CUAAUCUCAGACAGUACUAUAGGGCGGCUAUUCUGUCCUCAGGUGUCCUCCUACAUGCACCAUCUAACACAACCCAAUGGGUGGACAUGGAAAGAGCACAAUUCCGUAAUCAAGCCCUACUCGAAUACCUCUGGACACCCAAACACCUAAGAUCGAAACGACAGGAUCUAUUCCCAACCACCCAGCUCACGAUAGCAGUGUGGGAUGAAUUUAUGGGAGCCACAGGCUACAACAACUCCUUCCACCCUAAAUCGCCCAUUUCGACCCUUAGAGCAACGGUACCAG